GCAAGUCUGGUGCCAGCAGCCGCGGUAAUUCCAGCUCCAAUAGCGUAUAUUAAAGUUGUUGUGGUUAAAAAGCUCGUAGUUGAACCUUGGGCCUAGCCGGCCGGUCCGCCUCACCGCGUGCACUGGUUCGGCUGGGUCUUUCCUUCUGGAGAACCGCAUGCCCUUCACUGGGUGUGCCGGGGAACCAGGACUUUUACUCUGAACAAAUUAGAUCGCUUAAAGAAGGCCUAUGCUCGAAUACAUUAGCAUGGAAUAAUAGAAUAGGACGUGUGGUUCUAUUUUGUUGGUUUCUAGGACCGCCGUAAUGAUUAAUAGGGACAGUCGGGGGCAUCAGUAUUCAAUUGUCAGAGGUGAAAUUCUUGGAUUUAUUGAAGACUAACUACUGCGAAAGCAUUUGCCAA
rnacentral:rRNA from 1 species